AGAGUUUGAUCCUGGCUCAGGAUGAACGCUAGCGACAGGCCUAACACAUGCAAGUCGAGGGGUAUAGUAGCAAUACUAGAGACCGGCGCACGGGUGCGUAACGCGUAUGUAACCUGCCUCACACUGGGGGAUAGCCUUCCGAAAGGGAGAUUAAUACCGCAUAAUAAUAUUGUUCUGCCUGGGAUGAUAUUUAAAGCUUCGGUGGUGUGAGAUGGACAUGCGUAUGAUUAGCUAGUUGGCGGGGUAACGGCCCACCAAGGCGACGAUCAUUAGGGGUUCUGAGAGGAAGAUCCCCCACACUGGUACUGAGACACGGACCAGACUCCUACGGGAGGCAGCAGUGAGGAAUAUUGGUCAAUGGGCGAAAGCCUGAACCAGCCAUGUCGCGUGCAGGAAGACGGCCCUAUGGGUUGUAAACUGCUUUUGUAUGGGAAGAAACGACGGUACGAGUACUGUUUUGCCGGUACCAUACGAAUAAGGAUCGGCUAACUCCGUGCCCGCAGCCGCGGUAAUACGGAGGAUCCAAGCGUUAUCCGGAUUUAUUGGGUUUAAAGGGUGCGUAGGCGGGAGAUUAAGUCAGUGGUGAAAGUUUGCGGCUCAACCGUAAAAUUGCCAUUGAUACUGGUUUUCUUGAGUACAGUUGAGGUAGGCGGAAUGUGGUGUGUAGCGGUGAAAUGCUUAGAUAUACCACAGAACACCGAUUGCGAAGGCAGCUUACUAAGUUGUGACUGACGCUGAAGCACGAAAGCAUGGGGAUCAAACAGGAUUAGAUACCCUGGUAGUCG
rnacentral:rRNA from 1 species